AACGAACGCUGGCGGCAUGCCUAACACAUGCCAGUCGAACGAUGCCUUCGGGCAUAGUGGCGCACGGGUGCGUAACGCGUGGGAAUCUGCCUUUCGGUUCGGAAUAACUCAGGGAAACUUGAGCUAAUACCGGAUAACGUCGCAAGACCAAAGAUUUAUCACCGAAAGAUGAGCCCGCGUAGGAUUGGCUAGUUGGUGAGGUAAAGGCUCACCAAGGCGACGAUCCUUAGCUGGGCUGAGAGGCUGAUCAGCCACACUGGGACUGAGACACGGCCCAGACUCCUACGGGAGGCAGCAGUGGGGAAUAUUGGACAAUGGGGGAAAGCCUGAUCCAGCAAUGCCGCGUGAGUGAUGAAGGCCUUAGGGUUGUAAAGCUCUUUUACCCGGGAAGAUAAUGACGGUACCGGGAGAAUAAGCCCCGGCUAACUCCGUG
rnacentral:rRNA from 1 species